AGGCAGCAGUAGGGAAUAUUGGGCAAUGGACGCAAGUCUGACCCAGCCAUCCCGCGUGAAGGAUGAAGGAUCUCUGGUUCGUAAACUUCUUUUAUCUGUGAAGAAAAUUGGAUAUUCUUAUCCAACUGACGGUAACAGAGGAAUAAGCACCGGCUAACUCCGUGCCAGCAGCCGCGGUAAUACGGGGGGUGCAAGCGUUAUCCGGAUUCACUGGGUUUAAAGGGUGCGUAGGCGGCCUUACAAGUCACUGGUGAAAGCCCACAGCUCAACUGUGGAAUUGCCAAUGAAACUGUAAGGCUUGAAUCUGAUUGAAGUGGCUGGAAUAUAUCAUGUAGCGGUGAAAUGCUUAGAUAUGAUGUAGAACACCAAUUGCAAAGGCAGGUCACUAAGUCAACAUUGACGCUGAGGCACGAAAGCGUGGGUAGCGAACAGGAUUAGAUACCCUGGUAG
rnacentral:rRNA from 1 species